UCAUUCACGCACAGAAAGAGCUUCAGAAGAACCACAAGAAUCAUGGGGAAACAGGCUUUCACUGUAUUUGAUGGUACAAUUGCCUUUCACACUGCAUGGAGCUGAAGCACUAGCUUUCCUAAUAGAGAUAAAGCUUGAGCAUCUCAAAGAGAAAGGUGGCAACUAUAAACCAAAAACCACCAGGUCAAGCAACCAGUGGGAAAGAAGGACAUAUAGAAGAUGUCGUAGGAGUAAAGAAAUACAGCCUUGUGAAUCAAUAAGUCCCUUGGUAGAAAGCCAGGCUGACCUCCAGCAAAAGGAGCCAGACAAGGUUCCAGCUGACUGAAGAAACUUCACAGAGAGGAAAAAGGCCAUUCUUGAUCUUUCUUAUGAAAGGUACUUAGGAGCAUUGUGGAGGUCACUGUGACUCAGUGCCUCGCGCUGCCUCAAGCACUAUCCCUCUCAACAGCCCCCAGAGCAAGAAACAAUUUGCUGCAGAAUCUCUUUUUGACUAGUUUUGCUUUAAGGCAGGCAAGAGAUUAUUCCUAGAGCAUGGGUUUGACCAGACGGUCAAGUACAGGAUAGUAUUCUGCUAGAGGCACAGCCUGAGCUCUUUUAGCAACUCUCUGAGAGACUGAAUACAGCCUUCCAAAAGGAGCAGGAAAGGUCAGAGCCUCCUCUUCCUUCCCCAGGAGCAAAAAAGCCAGAGCAUUUAUCCAGGAGAUGGUGAAUCAGGUCCAGUUUCAUCUUCUCCUGAUGCCAACUCAGUUACACAUUCCUUCCAUGCCUAUAUUACAACAGAGCAAAAUGUAGGCACCUAUUAUGGCCUUAAUUCAAGACAGCUCUUUCCACUUAAUCUCACCAUAAGCACAGAUUCAAAUCCUAGUUAUGGUAAUGCUUCAGUCAUACCCAUAUCCUAGGCAUGAAAGGACUUUACUGCAUCUUAGAGCACUGCUGUCUUCAAGAGCAGUUUGGUUUUGGACUGUGUACACACUCAGGAGUACCUGUUUAUUAUCUCCACAAUAAUCCAUCUGUGAAUUGUUCACACUUUCUGAAACUUAGAGGGACAUUUUUUUACCUGCUGUGGUUUAGAUGCAAUACAGUUUGGUGGCAAUCUAUAAGUUAGCUCACAGAAGGUGAUUUGCUCACAUUUUGCUAUGCAACCUACUCUAGAAGACUUGCUUUAGCGAGGGGUGGGGGUGAGGUUGUUUUAGAUGAUCUCCAAAGGUCCCUUCUAACCCUUAUGAUUCUGGGAUUUUCUCUAAUAGAAAUCAGCCAACCUUUCCACAUGUUGCCUGCCUUUUUCUAUACGUGGAAACUGAAAAACACCACAUCUGCUUUGCUCUGAGUAUAAUUGCUACAAAUUGAAAAUAACAGCAUUUCCUUUCUACAUUGUUUCAGCCUCAAUAGCUGCACAGACACCCAAGAUUGAAAUCAAGAGUUGUAGAUGAGAAAUUUAGAUAUAAUUGAGUGUGAAGCAUCUCAUUUCAGAUGAAUUGUUUGUCUUUAAUAUGUACAAGUGUACGGGUAAAAGAUGUUUUGAAUUGCAAAAUCCAAUCAAUGAAAGUGUAAAAGAAAUUAGUUACAUUUUGCAAAACACGGAAAAAAAUGCUUUUCAAUUGAAGUAAAAAGAACAUUUCUUUUCUCAUGAAAUAGGAGUCAUUUUAGUAACUAUUCUAUGGUAUAGAAAUCACAUUCAGCCUAAAAGUACAGGCAUUAAAGAAGCUGCUCGUUCUUACCUAUGCUGAAUAGCUAAUUAGAGCAGCCAUUUAUCAUUCAAAAAGUCUUAGACAAGUUAAAAGAGAAGAAAACAAAAGAGAUGACAAAUACAUUUGGUAGCUGGACAACUGAAUAAGCUCUGUCCUUGGCUGAAUUUAGUGAGUCUCAAACUUUCGAUCAACAGAAAUGAAAUGAAAACACCCUUUAGGGGAAAUUCUGCAUUGUAGGAAAGGUGGUGCAAGCAACCUCUUGGGAAACAGCCUCUGUCCCAAGCCAUAGUCAUAUGAUUGAGUUUUACAUCUACUAUGUUAGAACUAGCAUGAAUCUGUGGUAAACUGAAGAAAUUAAACUCUUUCACUUAGGGCUCGUUUCUUCUUGGAUAACUAUUCUUUUAAACAAAUAGCUCUGUGACUCGUAGUUUGUAAAGGUGGGAUUUUACAGAACUGCCUUAAUCUGGAUAUUCCUUUCCAAUAUUUUAUUAAAGACCCAUAGAGUUACUAAUCCUAGAGUAUCAUAACAAACACAGAAGAAAACAUUUAUUAUCUUGAACCAUAGUUUCCUCCACCUCACUUUCUGUGUUAUUCUGUGUAAGAAAUAUCAUCCAGAGUAUCUUUUGGGACAGCUUGUUGUGCAAGUUUCUACAGGUCUGAUAUGUAGUGAAAUCACAGUCAGCUCAUAAAUACCCAUCUUUGAGGUGCCCUAAACCCCCAUCUCUCUGUACAGCUCUCUGUGUAGAUGAAAGGGAAACAGGAGGGAAGUGGCUAAUAUGUGAAGCACUGGGGGGGAGGGGGGGGGGGAUCAGAGUUCAGGAGCAAGUAAAUAAAAUGGAAAUGAGUCAAAGAGCUAAGAAAGGAAAGAAAAAGAAAAGUUCUGGUAGGUCAACAAAGGCAGCAACCCAUUUCAUUUCAGAUGCAAGCCAAGAUCAGGCUGUCCUAUUCCUCAUUUCUAAGAAACUGUUCUGGUGUGUGUAGACACCAAUGGAGAGCACUGAUCAAAUCUUUAGAAUGUGCACUGUGUUAAAUCGUACUCUCUAAUGGCAUCCAUUGUAAAAAUACAUGCAUCUAAGCAUGUAAUUCUACAUCCAACUAUGUCUUAACAGGAAAAGGUAGUAACAAGGAUUUUGAUAACUCAAAUCAGUAAUACACACAACUGGAACUUGUUAAAGCUACAAAACCCACUGCAUUGGAACUGGAGACAAGAUAAGAAGUUACAUGUUUCUCUAAUGCCAUACAAAAUGAUAGACUUAAAUCAGCCAUUUGUAUGGUAUCAUAAUAUUGUGCUAGGAACUGUACAUAAUAUUGUACUAAGAACUUUGAAGUCCUUUCUAUAGAAAAAGAUUGAUUUAUCUGGUGUUCAAGUAUCAAAUCAAUAUAGCAGCAAGUAUAAAGCUAACAAUACAUUUUGUAAAUCUACUGCAUGAUAACGGUUUUUGAAACAUGUUUACCAUAUUUGGCUCUGAUGUGAGAAUCAGACCACAACAGUUGGUUUUGUGAAUACAAAAUCUUACAUGGUCUACCAGGUUUUAUGUAGCAUUGCUCAAAACUGACCUGAUAACUUGUUAGACUCAUCUUUAGGGGAAAAUCUUCAUAUACCUUCUGCCCACAAUUUGACACCAUUUAGCAGUUUCUGUUUAUUGAAGCUGAAUUAAUUCACACAGUAGGUAACUUACAGCACUUGUUACUCGAACAGAAUAUGUGUUUGCAUGACUACUGUUGAGGUCAGUGAAGGGACACUAGCAGUGACUAUAAAAUAUUAGUCUGCACAGAAAGGUUUCUAGUUCAGCUGCUUUAGCCCCUUGAGCGUAAGAACCUGAAUCGCUUGGAAAUAAAAAUGAGAACCUGAAAUAUAAGAAUCAAGGUAAGGCACUCUCAGAUUUUCAGAAAUGAUGACACAGUUGCUUCUGAUAAAGUAUAGAAUUAUUUUAGGCUAGAUUAUUCACUAUAGAUGUCAUAUUAAUUUUUGGAUGCAUGAUUACCCAUGGCUAACAUGUGUUAGUCAUCUUUUGUUCAAGUGCAUGUUUCUAAACUAUGAAAUUCUCAUCACCUGCAAGUGGUUUUUACUUGCUUUUUACUUCUCCAUUUAGCAUAGAUUCUAAAGCUGCUCCUUCCUGAUAAAUAAAGUGGUGAUCCACUAAGCAUUUCAUCCUGUUUUUCAGUGUGUUUCUGACAGCACUGGACAGACUCCACAUGUCCAUUUCAUGGCUGUUCAGCGCAAAUCUGAAUGACAAUCAUUAUUAUGUUAGUGAAUUAUAAAUUCAAGAUCUAUCUGAGCAUGAGAAAAUCCCUCCUUGUUGAUACAUUUAUUCCUAUCCUCUCCUUUAAUAUAAGCCUGAAUCGCAGUAUCCAUGGAAAGAAUAUCCUUCAUCAAGUAUACAAUAACUUUUUGUAACAAUAGGAUGUGGCAGGAUACAAU